UUUUAACCUGGGGUCAGACCAGAGGAAUGCUGAGACAUUUUCAAUUGUCAUGACUUGGCAGGGACAGGAACGGCAGGCACUGAGUGGACAGAUAUCCACUAAACAUACUACAAUGCACUACAAAGAAUUAUCGAGACUCAAAUAUCAAUAGUGCUAAGGUUGAGAAAGUGAUCUAGAGACACACCAGUGAAUGCAUGAUUGUCGUCAAUCUAUUAGGCCAACAAAUGUAUAGGUGUACUGUUUGCCAGGCACUGAGCUAACUGGGAAUUCAAAGAUGAUUAACACUGUCUCUACCCUCAAACAGCUCAACUGGAUAGCAAAUAUACAGAAAAUAACUAUGAUAUAAAGAUGACAUGUGAAAUAUUUAGAUUUACAAGUAAUCUAUAUUUGCAGAAGAAACUGGUUUUCAAGGUGAAAUGGGAUUAGGAGGAUUUUAUAAUGAGAAAAAGUAGAAUAAGGACACUCUUUUUUUUUUUUUUUUUUUUUUGAGACAGAGUCUUGCUCUGUUGCCCAGGCUGGAGCGCGGUGGCACCAUCUCGGCUCACUGCAAGCUCCACCUCCCGGGUUCAUGCCCUUCUCCUGCCUCAGCCUCCCGAGUAGCUGGGACUAUAGGCGCCCACCACCACACCCGGCUAAUUUUUUGUAUUUUUAGUAGAGACAGGGUUUCACGGUGUUAGCCAGGAUGGUCUCGAUCUCCUGACCUUGUAAUCUGCCCGCCUUGGCCUCCCAAAGUGCUGGGUUUACAGGCGUGAGCCACCACACCCUGCCAGAAUAAGGACAUUCUUAGUAGAGGGAUUAGCUUCUAGCUGCACUGGUCAGUCCUUGUAUCAGCCAAAUUCUUUCCCACCUCAGAGCUUUACACAUGCUUGACCAUCUAUCUGUAGGCUUUUCUCCUCUUAGGCAAAGAGUCAUCCUCCAGAACUCAGCUUAAUUAAGGAAGGCCUCUUGAGAGAGACCUUGACAUCCCCCUACAAAGUAUUUAUUACAACUUACAAUAAAAUGUCUUUCAUGUCUUCUUAAUAUUUAUUUAUUUAUUUUUGAGAGGGAGUCUCGCUUCUGUCACCCAGGCUGGAGUGCNNUUGUCAACAGUUAUAGAAAGUAAACCUAAAAAGGGUGACUGGCUCCGUGACGCCUGUCCUUUCAUGAAUAAAACAGAUGUAGUCUCAUGUAAUACCUCAAUAAACUUGAAAUUUUAAAAAUCAAGAGACAUGUGCCCCACUAGAAAAAAAAAAAUACAGAUUUUUAGCAGAGACAUAAGGUCACAAAGUUUGCCAGGAUAGGGAACCCAGGAGGAAGAACAAAUUCAGAAUAGAAUAUGAGUUUUGAACUAGAGGUCUAAUUUCAAGGUCUCUUCAAGAUAUCCAGGCAAACCUUGAAAGAGAGCUGAGAAGCCAAAUUAGGAGUCAUCAGAAUGAAGAAAGUUAUCGAAGCCAGGAGACUAGAUCGGUAUCACCAGGGAAGGUGUGACGAAGAGGGAGAUGGUCAUCCAAAGUUACAACUCCCAGGAAUGCCCACAUGUAUGAAAAAGGGAGGACUUCCAGGAAGGGAGGGAUGAGCAGUAUCACGGCUAACAUACACUAAGGCUGACACAGUUCAGUUCUGACCAGGAAGGGCCUGAAUGGAAGCAACACGAGAGAUCCUCCAGUGGGGUGGAAGCAGGGCUGGAGGUACCAAGAAUGGGAUAAGGAAGUGUGGCCGCCUGCCUUAAGCAACUGUAGGGUCAGGAAGGCAGAAAAGGACAAA
rnacentral:lncRNA from 1 species